GCAGUCGAGGGGUAUAGGUUUUCGGACCUAGAGACCGGCGCACGGGUGCGUAACGCGUAUGCAAUCUACCUUUUACAGAGGGAUAGCCCAGAGAAAUUUGGAUUAAUACCUCAUAGUAUUAUUGAAUGGCAUCAUUUAAUAAUUAAAGUCACAACGGUAAAAGAUGAGCAUGCGUCCCAUUAGCUUGUUGGUAAGGUAACGGCUUACCAAGGCAACGAUGGGUAGGGGUCCUGAGAGGGAGAUCCCCCACACUGGUACUGAGACACGGACCAGACUCCUACGGGAGGCAGCAGUGAGGAAUAUUGGUCAAUGGGCGCAAGCCUGAACCAGCCAUGCCGCGUGCAGGAUGACGGUCCUAUGGAUUGUAAACUGCUUUUGUACAGGAAGAAACAGUUCUACGUGUAGAACCUUGACGGUACUGUAAGAAUAAGGAUCGGCUAACUCCGUGCCAGCAGCCGCGGUAAUACGGAGGAUCCAAGCGUUAUCCGGAAUCAUUGGGUUUAAAGGGUCCGUAGGCGGUUUUGUAAGUCAGUGGUGAAAGCCCAUCGCUCAACGGUGGAACGGCCAUUGAUACUGCAAGACUUGAAUUAUUGGGAAGUAACUAGAAUAUGUAGUGUAGCGGUGAAAUGCUUAGAGAUUACAUGGAAUACCAAUUGCGAAGGCAGGUUACUACCAAUAUAUUGACGCUGAUGGACGAAAGCGUGGGGAGCGAACAGGAUUAGAUACCCCUGGUAGUCCACGCCGUAAACGAUGGAUACUAGCUGUUCGGAGCAAUCUGAGUGGCU
rnacentral:rRNA from 1 species